rnacentral:rRNA from 1 species
GCAGUCGAACGGCAGCACGGGAGCAAUCCUGGUGGCGAGUGGCGAACGGGCUGAGUAAUAUAUCGGAACGUGCCCAGUCGUGGGGGAUAACGCACGAAAGCUGUGCUAAUACCGCAUACGAUCUACGGAUGAAAGCGGGGGAUCGCAAGACCUCGCGCGAUUGGAGCGGCCGAUAUCAGAUUAGCUAGUUGGUGAGGUAAAGGCUCACCAAGGCGACGAUCUGUAGCUGGUCUGAGAGGACGACCAGCCACACUGGAACUGAGACACGGUCCAGACUCCUACGGGAGGCAGCAGUGGGGAAUUUUGGACAAUGGGCGCAAGCCUGAUCCAGCAAUGCCGCGUGCAGGAUGAAGGCCUUCGGGUUGUAAACUGCUUUUGUACGGAGCGAAACGGUCUUUCCUAAUACGAGAGGCUAAUGACGGUACCGUAAGAAUAAGCACCGGCUAACUACGUGCCAGCAGCCGCGGUAAUACGUAGGGUGCGAGCGUUAAUCGGAAUUACUGGGCGUAAAGCGUGCGCAGCGGUUAUAUAAGACAGAUGUGAAAUCCCCGGGCUCAACCUGGGACCUGCAUUUGUGACUGUAUAGCUAGAGUACGGUAGAGGGGGAUGGAAUUCCGCGUGUAGCAGUGAAAUGCGUAGAUAUGCGGAGGAACACCGAUGGCGAAGGCAAUCCCCUGGACCUGUACUGACGCUCAUGCACGAAAGCGUGGGGAUCAAACAGGAUUAGAUACCCUGGUAGUCCACGCCCUAAAACGAUGU